CCUACGGGGGGCAGCAGUGAGGAAUAUUGGUCAAUGGCCGGAAGGCUGAACCAGCCAUGCCGCGUGAAGGUCAGUGCCCUAUGGGCGUUAAACUUCUUUUGUGCGGGAGCAAUAAUGGUCACGUGUGGCCAGACGAGAGUACCGUACGAAUAAGCAUCGGCUAACUCCGUGCCAGCAGCCGCGGUAAUACGGGGGAUGCAAGCGUUAUCCGGAUUUAUUGGGUUUAAAGGGUGCGUAGGCUGUGAGGUAAGUCAGCGGUGAAAUGCCCCCGCUCAACGGGGUGAAGUGCCAUUGAUACUGCCUGGCUGGAAUGCGGAUGCCGUGGGAGGAAUGUGUGGGGUAGCGGUGAAAUGCAUAGAUAUCACACAGAACACCGAUUGCGAAGGCAUCUCACGAAUCCGCGAUUGACGCUGAUGCACGAAAGCGUGGGUAUCAAACAGGAUUAGAUACCCUUGUAGUC
rnacentral:rRNA from 1 species